GAUGAACGCUGGCGGCGUGCCUAAUACAUGCAAGUCGAGCGAACAGACGAGGAGCUUGCUCCUCUGACGUUAGCGGCGGACGGGUGAGUAACACGUGGAUAACCUACCUAUAAGGCUGGGAUAACUUCGGGAAACCGGAGCUAAUACCGGAUAAUAUAUUGAACCGCAUGGUUCAAUAGUGAAAGACGGUUUUGCUGUCACUUAUAGAUGGAUCCGCGCCGCAUUAGCUAGUUGGUAAGGUAACGGCUUACCAAGGCAACGAUGCGUAGCCGACCUGAGAGGGUGAUCGGCCACACUGGAACUGAGACACGGUCCAGACUCCUACGGGAGGCAGCAGUAGGGAAUCUUCCGCAAUGGGCGAAAGCCUGACGGAGCAACGCCGCGUGAGUGAUGAAGGUCUUCGGAUCGUAAAACUCUGUUAUUAGGGAAGAACAAAUGUGUAAGUAACAAUGCACGUCUUGACGGUACCUAAUCAGAAAGCCACGGCUAACUACGUG
rnacentral:rRNA from 1 species